rnacentral:rRNA from 1 species
UUGACCUCAAAUCGGGUGAGACUACCCGCUGAAC